CUUUCCACUGCCUAAAAACUUCAAUGCUUGAUUUUACUUGCAAUUUCCUCUUCCUGACAUGGAGAAUGUUGGCUUGGAAUGUUCUCUUCCUGACAUGGCAUUAAUGUUGGUGUUGAGAGUCAUAGACACCCAGCAUUCUGGAAUCUUUAGUGUUGAGAGGGCAGGGCCCAGCCCUCAGUCUCAGAGUCACUUUGAAGCUGGUCUGCAUCACAGAGAUGCAGUUUCGCCACGUCACCUAGGCUACACCACCUAUCAUUUCUAACAGUACAACUUGAGACUGUGAGCUGUACUAUAAGCCAGAAGACAGACCAACUCAAACUUAUCUUCCUCUUUAUCCAAACACCAGAGAAGCAAAUAUCCUUGCCUUUGACAGUCGCCGGAGCAGUUCUGAUGGCUGUGCUAUAAAGCUAUGUCCUUGGUUUAAACACAUCAGGAAUAAUUGGAUGCAGUCUUCACAGAAUAAAUCAAGCUCUUUAUUUCUCAACUUUCUUCACCCAGACCUGCUAUUCUGCAAGGCAAAAACAUAACUGCGUGGCUGAUAGCAUCCUUAUACCUCAGGAGCUUUUCCAACAUAGGCCAUCCAGAACCGCCGCUACCAUGGUGCCAGCUGCAGUGGGGAGGCCAGCGGUUGUGGCAGGAGAGGCUGCAGGGGCAGCAAUAACGGUGGUGGGACCCCUGUCCCCCAUGUCUCCAAGGCAGGCAACUGAGCCACCCCCACCUUUGCAUGACCAGGCCCAUAAAAACCCCAGAGUCGGCCAAACUGGAGCAGAGGAUGGAGAGACAAAGGGAGAUGAUGAGAUGACCAGCUGCAGAGAGGAGCUGACCACCCCAGGGUUUCCUGUCUGCUGAGAACCAAGGAGAUGAUAGGACGACCAGCUGCAGGGAGAAACUACCCUCUCUGCUAAGAGCUGGGCACUUGACGGGAUGACCUGCCUAGCAGAGAGGAGAUACCCUCUCUGCUGAGAGCUGAAGAGAUGACUGGGUGACCACCUGCAGAGAGGAACUACCCUCUCUGCUGAGAGCUUGACACUCAUUGGGAAACCCUGCUAUGGAGAGGAGCUGCCCAUUGCAGGUCUCCUCUGAGCUGUUCUAUUGUGCGAUAAAGCUCCUCUGUGUCUUGCUUA
rnacentral:lncRNA from 1 species